ACUGCAGCAGCAGGGCAGGAAUUAAAUGGUGCUAGAAUGAACUGAGUAAGAACCUAAAAACGUUUAGGCACAUCUGCAUAAUGAUGUGUUUAGAAAGUAACUUCCUAUCCGUAUAGAAACACACAUGGACAGGAUACAUCAUAUAUAAACGUAUAUGUAAUAUGCAUAUUAUUUAACCAUGUUUACAAAAUUUAAAAAAUAGAUUACAGUUGGAGAAAAGUGGCCAGGUUACUGAAGGUGCUCCAUCUGCUCCUCACUGGUCCCCAGGACAGGGACGUGUCCUCAGCCUGCUGCAUUAAACCAUGACCGAAGAAGUUAACAGUUCAAACUCUAACACUUUAAAACUAAUUUCAUUUAAAAACAAAUGACAAUGGAUGCUUGUUGUAAAAUGUAUCAGGUAAAGAAACAUAAAAAAAUUUAAAUCGGGUUUUCAGCAGGAAGUCCCCGUAUCACUGAGAUGAAUCUGGUGCUGGUGUGUAGAACAUCAGGCAGGAGAAACUCUGAGACGUUCUCUUCCCUAAGCAUGGGCAGAUCCUUGAAGCGGACCAUGAACCUCUGUUACCUCAGAAGAUGAGUAACAUCACAAAGUCUCUUCUGUCAGGAAGCCACGGCGUACUCCUGCGUGCUCCAUCUCUGGCGGUGGUGAGGAGGCAGAACUGGACGUCUACAGCAUCCAUGAAGGCCACGCUGACUCCUACCCGAGGUGUUAGCGUGGAGAAAUGAGCAGACAGCGGGUGGAGGACGGCGAGUAAACGCUCACGACACAUGAAGCUACAUGUUAUCAGAACAGAUUAUCCUGAUGUGUUGACAGCAAAGCACCAGAGGGAAGGAGGCGGCUGUCCUGAGCUCCAGGCAGCUGAAGAUUUCCUCCAGCUGAAGAUGUCCUCCAGCUGAAGAUGUCCUCCAGCUGAAGAUGUCCUCCAGCUGAAGAUGUCCUCCAGCUGAAGAUGUCCUCCAGCUGAAGAUGUCCUCCAGCUGAAGAUGUCCUCCAGCUGAAGAUGUCCUCCAGCCGAAGAUGUCCUCCAGCUGAAGAUGUCCUCCAGCUGUCCCUGGGGAGCAGACGUCAUGCCUCGUAUCUUUUCACAUCGUCUGCUGCGGGUAAACUCACCGUUCCUUUCAUCCAUCGAUGGAGGCGAGGUUCUCCGGCUGAUGACCUGCUUACUGGACUCAGGAGUGCUGAAGCAGAGACACACACAUGGUGCUUACAGUUUUAUCUCUAAAUGAAGAUGUCAUGAAAAGGCUCUCUGAAUCUGAAACUCAUGUGAGAAAGUGGGGAAGAAGCUGGAAAAGAGGACGGAGGCCUGCGGUGGACGCUCUCGCCUCCAGAACCUCAGAACGGCGGAGAAGCCAUGAAGGAGUCAGUCAUGGAAGGGAAGGUGGAGCAAGACUUUUCAGAUAAGAGACUGUCCCACAGGACUGACGGGACAGACGUUGUCUCAGACACGCUCAGACAGAAGCAAUCGCUGCACAAGAUUCAUCAAGACAACUUUAUCACGUCCAAAAAUAAAUGCCUGUAUCAAC